rnacentral:rRNA from 1 species
UACGGAGGGUGCAAGCGUUAUCCGGAUUUACUGGGUUUAAAGGGUGCGUAGGUGGGCAGGAAAGUCAGUGGUGAAAUCUCCGGGCUUAACCCGGAAACUGCCAUUGAUACUAUUUGUCUUGAAUACUUUGGAGGUAAGCGGAAUAUGUCAUGUAGCGGUGAAAUGCUUAGAUAUGAUAUAGAACACCGAUUGCGAAGGCAGCUUACUAAACGAUUAUUGACGCUGAGGCACGAAAGCGUGGGGAUCAAACAGG